rnacentral:rRNA from 1 species
UACAGAGGUCCCAAGCGUUGUUCGGAUUCACUGGGCGUAAAGGGUGCGUAGGUGGUUGUGCAAGUCUGAUGUGAAAUCUCCGGGCUUAACCCGGAAAUGGCAUUGGAAACUGCAUAGCUAGAGGGUUGGAGGGGGGGACUGGAAUACUUGGUGUAGCAGUGAAAUCGUAGAUAUCAAGUGGAACACCAGUGGCGAAGGCGAGUCCCUGGACAACACCUGACACUGAGGCACGAAAGCUAGGGGGAGCAAACA